AGUGAACGCUGGCGGUAGGCCUAACACAUGCAAGUCGAACGGCAGCACAGGAGAGCUUGCUCUCUGGGUGGCGAGUGGCGGACGGGUGAGGAAUACAUCGGAAUCUACCUUUUCGUGGGGGAUAACGUAGGGAAACUUACGCUAAUACCGCAUACGACCUACGGGUGAAAGUGGGGGACCGCAAGGCCUCACGCGAUUAGAUGAGCCGAUGUCCGAUUAGCUAGUUGGCGGGGUAAUGGCCCACCAAGGCGGCGAUCGGUAGCUGGUCUGAGAGGAUGAUCAGCCACACUGGAACUGAGACACGGUCCAGACUCCUACGGGAGGCAGCAGUGGGGAAUAUUGGACAAUGGGCGCAAGCCUGACCCAGCCAUACCGCGUGGGUGAAGAAGGCCUUCGGGUUGUAAAGCCCUUUUGUUGGGUAAGAAAUCCUAUCGGUUAAUAACCGGUGGGGAUGACGGUACCCAAAGAAUAAGCACCGGCUAACUUCGUGCCAGCAGCCGCCGUAAAAC
rnacentral:rRNA from 1 species